rnacentral:rRNA from 1 species
CUGCAGUCGAGGGGUAGCACAGGUAGCAAUACUGGGUGGCGACCGGCAAACGGGUGCGGAACACGUACGUAACCUUCCUUUAAGUGGGAGAUAGCCCGAAGAAAUUCGGAUUAAUACCCCAUAAGAUUGUGGAGUGGCAUCACUCAGCAAUUAAAGAAAUUCGCUUAAAGAUGGGCGUGCGGCUGAUUAGGUAGUUGGUGAGGUAACGGCUCACCAAGCCAACGAUCAGUAACUGGCGUGAGAGCGCGACCAGUCACACGGGCACUGAGACACGGGCCCGACUCCUACGGGAGGCAGCAGUAAGGAAUAUUGGUCAAUGGACGCAAGUCUGAACCAGCCAUGCCGCGUGAAGGAUGAAGGUCCUCUGGAUUGUAAACUUCUUUUAUAUGGGAAGAAACCAUCUUUUUCUAAAGGUGUUGACGGUACCAUAGGAAUAAGCACCGGCUAACUCCGUGCCAGCAGCCGCGGUAAUACGGAGGGUGCAAGCGUUAUCCGGAUUCACCGGGUUUAAAGGGUGCGUAGGCGGAUUAGUAAGUCCGUGGUGAAAUCUCCGAGCUUAACUCGGAAACUGCCGUGGAUACUAUUAAUCUUGAAUACUGUGGAGGUUAGCGGAAUAUGUCAUGUAGCGGUGAAAUGCAUAGAUAUGACAUAGAACACCAAUUGCGAAGGCAGCUGGCUACACAGAGAUUGACGCUGAGGCACGAAAGCGUGGGGAUCAAACAGGAUUAGAUACCCUGGUAGUCCACGCCCUAAACGAUGAUUACUCGACAUUUGCGAUAUACAGUAAGUGUCUGAGCGAAAGCAUUAAGUAAUCCACCUGGGAAGUACGACCGCAAGGUUGAAACUCAAA